AACGUAGGAGACAAACGUUAUCCGGAGUUACUGGGCGUAAAGGGCGUGUAGGCGGUUCGUUAAGUCUGGCGUGAAAGCUCUCGGCUAAACCGGGAGAGGUCGUUGGAUACUGGCAAACUAGAGGACGGUAGAGGCGUGUGGAAUUCCGGGUGUAGUGGUGAAAUGCGUAGAGAUCCGGAGGAACACCAGUGGCGAAGGCGACACGCUGGGCCGUACCUGACGCUGAGGUGCGAAAGCGUGGGGAGCAAACAGG
rnacentral:rRNA from 1 species